UGCAAGUUAUCGGGACGCUGUCGCUUCCCCCGGGCGAAAGGAGAGAGGAAGGGACAAGCCAAUCUGAGGACAGCAGGUGUUCCCAGGAAGUAAGACCUACCCAACAGGUAGAAGCGGCAGGAGAACAAGCCCACUGGAGGAUGAAAGACCCUGUGGAACAGAGCUGAGUCAUUGCAGCUGAGGUCAUCCUUGAUCAGCCAGCCCUCAGUUGACUGCAGAGGUGAAUGAUCACCUUGCCCAGAAGUUACAAAAACAACAUAAAACAUAAUACUGUUUGAUUUGAAGACUGAACAAGAAACAAG